rnacentral:rRNA from 1 species
GUAGGGAAUAUUGGACAAUGGGGGGAACCCUGAUCCAGCCAUGUCGCGUGGAGGAAGACUGCCCUCUGGGUUGUAAACUCCUUUUAUAUGGGAAGAACCGUCAUCAUUAAUGAGUGACCUGACGGUACCAUAGGAAUAAGCACCGGCUAACUCCGUGCCAGCAGCCGCGGUAAUACGGAGGGUGCAAGCGUUAUCCGGAUUCACUGGGUUUAAAGGGUGCGUAGGCGGAUAAAUAAGUCAGUGGUGAAAUCAACGGGCUCAACCUGUUAACUGCCAUUGAUACUGUGUAUCUUGAAUAUGAGAGAGGUAGGCGGAAUGUUGCAUGUAGCGGUGAAAUGCUUAGAUAUGCUACGAAACACCGAUUGCGAAGGCAGCUUACUAUUUCGUAAUUGACGCUGAGGCACGAAAGCGUGGGUAGCGAACAGGAUUAGAAACCCGGGUAGUCC